rnacentral:rRNA from 1 species
UACGAAGGUCCCAAGCGUUGUUCGGAAUCACUGGGCGUAAAGGGAGCGUAGGCGGCGUGGUAAGUCAGAUGUGAAAUCCCGGGGCUCAACCCCGGAACUGCAUCCGAUACUGCCAUGCUAGAGGAUUGGAGAGGUAGCUGGAAUUCUUGGUGUAGCAGUGAAAUGCGUAGAGAUCAAGAGGAACACUCGUGGCGAAAGCGAGCUACUGGACAAUUCCUGACGCUGAGGCUCGAAGGCUAGGGUAGCGAAAGG